rnacentral:rRNA from 1 species
UACAGAGGUGGCAAGCGUUGUUCGGAAUUACUGGGCGUAAAGGGCGCGUAGGCGGCCCUCUAAGUCAGACGUGAAAUCCCCCGGCUUAACCUGGGAACUGCGUCUGAUACUGGGGGGCUAGAGUUUGGGAGAGGGAUGUAGAAUUCCAGGUGUAGCGGUGAAAUGCGUAGAUAUCUGGAGGAAUACCGGUGGCGAAGGCGGCAUCCUGGACCAAUACUGACGCUGAGGCGCGAAAGCUAGGGGAGCAAACAGG